CCUACGGGUGGCAGCAGUGAGGAAUAUUGGUCAAUGGGCGCGAGCCUGAACCAGCCAAGUAGCGUGCAGGAUGACGGCCCUACGGGUUGUAAACUUCUUUUAUAAGGGAAUAAAGUGAGGCACGUGUGCCUUUUUGUAUGUACUUUAUGAAUAAGGAUCGGCUAACUCCGUGCCAGCAGCCGCGGUAAUACGGAGGAUCCGAGCGUUAUCCGGAUUUAUUGGGUUUAAAGGGAGCGUAGAUGGGUUGUUAAGUUAGUUGUGAAAGUUUGCGGCUCAACCGUAAAAUUGCAAUUGAUACUGGAAGUCUUGAGUACAGUUGAGGUAGGCGGAAUUCGUGGUGUAGCGGUGAAAUGCUUAGAUAUCACGAAGAACUCCGAUUGCGAAGGCAGCUUACUAAGCUGCCACUGACAUUGAUGCUCGAAAGUGUGGGUAUCAAACAGGGUUAGAUACCCCAGUAGUC
rnacentral:rRNA from 1 species